rnacentral:lncRNA from 1 species
GACGAAAUCCAUGCUUGGUUUAACAUGAAAGCGGGGAGGACAAUCUGAAGAGGGUCUCAUCAGCUGAGUUAAAGUUGGAAAUCAAUACAGAGGAGAUUUAUAGACUUUCAGUGGCCAAACAAAUCUACCGAAGACAGGCGACUUGAGGAGAUGAGGAAGAAUAUAAACAGAAUAUAAUGGAGAAGGAUUCAAACCUAGAGGAGAUGAGUAAAGGAUUUAAGGACACUGACCGCAGACUGAUGAAAACCACAAAACAACUGUAUGGGAACAUCAAACAUCUUCAGAAGAAAGACACACAACUGGAUGAAAUGUCCCAACAAGUGAGAGAGACAGAGAGGAGACUGGAGAACCUUGUCAAGGAGGACAGGAACCACAGACUGGGAGAGAAAGACAAACUACUGGAAGAGAGAGAAGGUGAACUAAAGGAGAGGAGGCAGGAACUAGAAGAGAAAGAUAAACUACUAGAGAAGAGAGAGAAACAGUUAAAGAAAAGAGACAAACCAGUGGAGGACGUCAACAAGGAAAAUGUUAAACUGGAACAUGGAGACACUUCAGAUUUCUCAAAGCUCCCAAUCGAGAGAAAAAGCAGCAAAGACUGUGUUGGUCCUUAUAGUAAGUUAUCAAUGUCUUCUCAGACUUUCAUUGAUUUCUAUAUUCACAGUUGCAUUAGAUAAUCAUCACAUCCAGUUUUCCAUCAAAUGUUUAUCGAGCAAAUAUCUAGACUCCUCUGCGGUACCCAUGCAUUUGUGAGAAUUCUGUGCAACAACAUUUGCAAUUACUUGAAGCUAUACUAAGAAAACUGUAGCUAUACUAAGAAAACUGUAGCUAUACUAAGAAAACUGUAGCUAUACUAAGAAAACUGUAGCUAUACUAAGAAAACUGUAGCUAUACUAAGAACACUGUAGCUAUACUAAGAAAACUGUAGCUAUACUAAGAAAACUGUAGCUAUACUAAGAAAACUGUAGCUAUACUAAGAAAACUGUAGCUAUACUAAGAACACUGUAGCUAUACUCAGAAAACUGUAGCUAUACUAAGAACACUGUAGCUAUACUCAGAAAACUGUAGCUAUACUCAGAAAACUGUACCUAUACUCAGAAAACUGAAGCUAUACUAAGAACACUGUAGCUAUACUCAGAAAACUGUAGCUAUACUCAGAAAACUGUACCUAUACUCAGAAAACUGUAGCUAUACUAAGAAAACUGUAGCUAUACUAAGAAAACUGUAGCUAUACUAAGAAAACUGUAGCUAUACUAAGAAAACUGUAGCUAUACUAAGAAAACUGUAGCUAUACUAAGAACACUGUAGCUAUACUCAGAAAACUGUAGCUAUACUAAGAACACUGU